UACAGAGGUCUCAAGCGUUGUUCGGAUUCAUUGGGCGUAAAGGGUGUGUAGGUGGCGCGCUAAGUCGGGUGUGAAAUUUCGGAGCUUAACUGCGAAACUGCAUUCGAUACUGGCGUGCUUGAGGACUGGAGAGGAGACUGGAAUUCAUGGUGUAGCAGUGAAAUGCGUAGAGAUCAUGAGGAAGACCAGUGGCGAAGGCGGGUCUCUGGACAGUUCCUGACACUGAGGCACGAAGGCCAGGGGAGCAAACGGG
rnacentral:rRNA from 1 species